rnacentral:rRNA from 1 species
CAGCAGCCGCGGGAAUACGUAGGGUGCAAGCGUUAAUCGGAAUUACUAGGCGUAAGGCGUGCGCAGGCGGUUAUAUAAGUCAGAUGUGAAAUCCCCGGGCUCAACCUGGGAACUGCAUUUGAGACUGUAUGGCUAGAGUGUGUCAGAAGGGGGUAGAAUUCCACGUGUAGCAGUGAAAUGCGUAGAUAUGUGGAGGAAUACCGAUGGCGAAGGCAGCCCCCUGGGAUAACACUGACGCUCAUGCACGAAAGCGUGGGGAGCAAACAGGAUUAGAUACCCCUGUAGUCCCUGUCUCUUAUAC